UCCCUGGUGGCUCAGAUGGUAAAGAAUCUGCCUGUGAUGUAGGAGACCUGGGUUCAAUCCCCGGGUUGGGAA
rfam:TPA: Bos taurus chromosome 16, whole genome shotgun sequence.